CAAUGAGGGUGUCAGGGUGACAAUGACAGGGUCAGGGUGACAAUGAGGGUGUCAGGGUGUCACUGAGGGUGUCAAGGUGACAAUGGCAGGGUCAGGGUGACAGUGAGGGUGUCAGGGUGACAGUGAGGGUGUCAGGGUGACAGUGAGGGUGUCAGGGUGACAAUGAGGGUGUCAGG